UACAGAGGGGGGCAAGCGUUGUUCGGAAUUACUGGGCGUAAAGGGCGCGUAGGCGGCCUGUUAAGUCGAACGUGAAAUCCCCGGGCUCAACCCGGGAACUGCGUCCGAUACUGGCAGGCUUGAAUCCGGGAGAGGGAUGCGGAAUUCCAGGUGUAGCGGUGAAAUGCGUAGAUAUCGGGAGGAACACCAGUGGCGAAGGCGGCUCACUGGACCGGCAUUGACGCUGAGGUGCGAAAGCGUGGGGAGCAAACAGG
rnacentral:rRNA from 1 species